ACAGACCGCUAAAAUUAAUUAAUUAAAUACAUAGUGACAACUUCCAUUUUUAUAAAGGUACAGGAAAUAUGGUAUGGUUUAUGGAACAAAUAUGAGGAAAUAUUUGUGAAAGUCUGAGUUUGGCAACUCCACCCGUGUCCUGACGAGGAGCGGUUUUGGCUGGGUUGAAACACCCGAGAAUUGAGACAUCUUAAAAACAAAAAGGUUAAGUUAAGGUUAAUAAGGGUAAGUCCUCCAUAGUAGAGGUAAGUCCCAGGUAAUUGUAGGGGUAAGUCCUCCAUAGUAGAGGUAAGUCCCCCGGGGUAAGUCCUCCAUAGUAGAGGUAAGUCCCCUGGGGUAAGUCCUCCACAGUAGAGG